UACGGGGGGGGCAAGCGUUGUUCGGAAUUACUGGGCGUAAAGGGCGCGUAGGCGGCGCGGUAAGUCGGGUGUGAAAUCUCGGAGCUUAACUCCGAAACUGCAUUCGAUACUGCCGUGCUUGAGGACUGGAGAGGAGACUGGAAUUUACGGUGUAGCGGUGAAAUGCGUAGAUAUCGUAAGGAAGACCAGUGGCGAAGGCGGGUCUCUGGACAGUUCCUGACGCUGAGGCACGAAGGCCAGGGGAGCAAACGGG
rnacentral:rRNA from 1 species